rnacentral:rRNA from 1 species
AUUGAACGCUGGCGGCAUGCCUUACACAUGCAAGUCGAACGGCAGCACGGGAGCAAUCCUGGUAGCGAGUGGCGAACGGGUGAGUAAUAUAUCGGAACGUGCCCAGUCGUGGGGGAUAACGUAGCGAAAGCUACGCUAAUACCGCAUACGAUCUACGGAUGAAAGCGGGGGAUCGCAAGACCUCGCGCGAUUGGAGCGGCCGAUAUCAGAUUAGGUAGUUGGUGAGGUAAAGGCUCACCAAGCCGACGAUCUGUAGCUGGUCUGAGAGGACGACCAGCCACACUGGGACUGAGACACGGCCCAGACUCCUACGGGAGGCAGCAGUGGGGAAUUUUGGGACAAUGGGCGCAAGCCUGAUCCAGCAAUGCCGCGUGCAGGAUGAAGG